rnacentral:misc_RNA from 1 species
GAUGAAGAACGUAGCGAAAUGCGAUACGUAGUGUGAAUUGCAGAAUUCAGUGAAUCAUCGAAUCUUUGAACGCACAUUGCGCCCUUUGGUAUUCCAAAGGGCAUGCCUGUUCGAGCGUCAUUUGUACCCUCAAGCUUUGCUUGGUGUUGGGCGUCUUGUCUCCAGUCCGCUGGAGACUCGCCUUAAAGUCAUUGGCAGCCGGCCUACUGGUUUCGGAGCGCAGCACAAGUCGCACUCUUUUCCAGCCAAGGUCAGCGUCCAACAAGCCUUUUUUCAACUUUUGACCUCGGAUCAGGUAGGGAUACCCGCUGAACUUAAGCAUAUCAAUAAAGCGGAGGA